AUUGAACGCUGGCGGCAGGCUUAACACAUGCAAGUCGAGCGAGCGGCGGACGGGUGAGUAAUGUCUGGGAAACUGCCUGAUGGAGGGGGAUAACUACUGGAAACGGUAGCUAAUACCGCAUACCAUCAGAUGUGCCCAGAUGGGAUUAGCUAGUAGGUGGGGUAAUGGCUCACCUAGGCGACGAUCCCUAGCUGGUCUGAGAGGAUGACCAGGCAAACUGGAACUGAGACAAGGUCCAGAAUCCUAAGGGAGGGAGGAGGGGGGAAUAUUGCAAAAUGGGCGCAAGCCUGAUGCAGCCAUGCCGCGGGUGUGAAGAAGGGCUUAGGGUUGUAAAGCACUUUCAGGGGGGAGGCGUUACUCGCAGAAGAAGCACCGGCUAACUCCGUGCCAGCAGCCGCGGUAAUAC
rnacentral:rRNA from 1 species